rnacentral:lncRNA from 1 species
ACCUAUUGCAAAGGCUUUUGAAACUUCAAUGCUGUAUUUUUGAGUUGUACGGUUCUUUUGAUAAUAUCAGAAGCAAAAGAGAGAGAGAGAGAAGGGAAAUGGACGAAACAAAGGAAGUAAGCAGAUGAAAUUACUCAGGAAUCAUUUGAACGGAUGAUUUUUCGAGAAGGGAGAGAAAUCUUUGGUUCACGCGGUAACGAUGAACAAAAAAAAUGGUCAGGGGAAAUUAAAAGGGGGAACCACUUUCUCUGGUGUUAUACUCUCUGUUUU